CCUACGGGAGGCAGCAGUGAGGAAUAUUGGUCAAUGGACGAGAGUCUGAACCAGCCAAGUAGCGUGAAGGAUGACUGCCCUAUGGGUUGUAAACUUCUUUUAUAUGGGAGUAAAAUGUUCCACGUGUGGGUUUUUGUAUGUACCAUAUGAAUAAGGAUCGGCUAACUCCGUGCCAGCAGCCGCGGUAAUACGGAGGAUGCGAGCGUUAUCCGGAUUUAUUGGGUUUAAAGGGUGCGUAGGUGGAUUGAUAAGUCAGUUGUGAAAGUUUGGGGCUUAAACGUAAAAUUGCAGUUGAGACUGACAGUCUUGAGUACAGUAGAGGUGUGCGGAAUGCGUGGUGUAGCGGUGAAAUGCUUAGAUAUCACGAAGAACUCCGAUUGCGAAGGCAGCUCACUGGACUGCGACUGACACUGAGGCUCGAAAGUGUGGGUAUCAAACAGGAUUAGAUACCCGAGUAGUC
rnacentral:rRNA from 1 species